rnacentral:rRNA from 1 species
AGAACGAACGCUGGCGGCAGGCCUCAAACAUGCAAGUCUAGGGGGUGUAGCAAUACAUCACCGGCGGACGGGUGCGUAACGCGUGGGAAUGUACCUAUUGGUUCGGAACAACUGAGGGAAACUUCAGCUAAUACCGGAUGAGCCCGCAAGGGGAAAGAUUUCUCGCCAAUAGAUCAGCCCGCGUCCGAUUAGCUAGUUGGUGGGGUUAAAGCCUACCAAGGCAACGAUCGGUAGCUGUUCUGAGAGGAAGAUCAGCCACACUGGGACUGAGACACGGCCCAGACUCCUACGGGAGGCAGCAGUUGGGAAUCUGGACAAUGGGGAACCCUGAUCCAGCCAUGCCGCGUGAGUGAUGAAGGCCUUCGGGUUGUAAAACUCUUUCGACGGGACGAUAAUGACGGUACCCGUAGAAGAAGCUCCGGCUAACUUCGUGCCAGCAGCCGC